rnacentral:rRNA from 1 species
ACUCCUACGGGAGGCAGCAGUGGGGAAUAUUGCACAAUGGGCGCAAGCCUGAUGCAGCCAUGCCGCGUGUAUGAAGAAGGCCUUCGGGUUGUAAAGUACUUUCAGCAGUGAGGAAGGUGGAGUCGUUAAUAGCGGCCUCAUUUGACGUUAGCUGCAGAAGAAGCACCGGCUAACUCCGUGCCAGCAGCCGCGGUAAUACGGAGGGUGCGAGCGUUAAUCGGAAUUACUGGGCGUAAAGCGCAUGCAGGUGGUUUGUUAAGUCAGAUGUGAAAGCCCGGGGCUCAACCUCGGAAUUGCAUUUGAAACUGGCAGACUAGAGUACUGUAGAGGGGGGUAGAAUUUCAGGUGUAGCGGUGAAAUGCGUAGAGAUCUGAAGGAAUACCGGUGGCGAAGGCGGCCCCCUGGACAGAUACUGACACUCAGAUGCGAAAGCGU